rnacentral:rRNA from 1 species
CGUUCCCGGGCCUUGUACACACCGCCCGUCACACCACGAAAGUUGGUAACACCCGAAGCCGGUGGCCCAACCCUUUUGGGAGGGAGCUGUCGAAGGUGGGAUCAGCGAUUGGGUG